rnacentral:rRNA from 1 species
AUACGUAGGGGGCAAGCGUUGUCCGGAAUUACUGGGCGUAAAGGGCGCGUAGGCGGCGCUUCAAGCCGUCUGUCAAAUGGGAGGGCUUAACCCUUUUUCGCAGACGAAACUGGAGAGCUUGAGAAGCAGAGAGGCAAACAGAAUUCCUGGUGUAGCGGUGAAAUGCGUAGAUAUCAGGAAGAAUACCAGUGGCGAAGGCGGGUUGGUGGCUGCAUACUGACGCUGGAGCGCGAAAGCCAGGGGAGGAAACGGGAUUAGAAACCCCGGUAGUCCUGGCAGGAAACGAUGUAUGCUUGGUGUGAGACUAGCGAUUGUUUCGUGCCGAAGUUAACGCGAUAAGCAAUCCGCCUGGGGAGUACGGUCGCAAGAUUGAAACUUAAAGGAAUUGACGGGG